rnacentral:rRNA from 1 species
UGGGGAAUAUUGGACAAUGGGGGCAACCCUGAUCCAGCAAUGCCGCGUGUGUGAAGAAGGUUUUCGGAUUGUAAAGCACUUUCGACGGGGACGAUGAUGACGGUACCCGUAGAAGAAGCCCCGGCUAACUUCGUGCCAGCAGCCGCGGUAAUACGAAGGGGGCUAGCGUUGCUCGGAAUGACUGGGCGUAAAGGGCGUGUAGGCGGUUUGUACAGUCAGAUGUGAAAUCCCCGGGCUUAACCUGGGAGCUGCAUUUGAUACGUGCAGACUAGAGUGUGAGAGAGGGUUGUGGAAUUCCCAGUGUAGAGGUGAAAUUCGUAGAUAUUGGGAAGAACACCGGUGGCGAAGGCGGCAACCUGGCUCAUAACUGACGCUGAGGCGCGAAAGCGUGGGGAGCAAACAGGAUUAGAUACCCUGGUAGUCCACGCUGUAAACGAUGUGUGCUAGAUGUUGGGUAACUUAGUUAUUCAGUGUCGCAGUUAACGCGUUAAGCACACCGCCUGGGGAGUACGGCCGCAAGGUUGAA